rnacentral:lncRNA from 1 species
CUUGGAAUCUAGUUGGUUGCUCAUGUAAGAGGUCUACUGCCUAGUAAUGGGUUCCACAGCUAUUAUAGGUAGAGAGGAUUUGGGAAUAUAGAAAUAUUUCCCUAAAAGCCUUUAUUGCUGAUAACUGAAGCACAAAAGUGGCAGAGGCAGAAGACCUCGGUAAUCUUAGUGCGAGACACUGUCCAGGAGGUCCCUGGCUCUUUCAUUUUAUAUUUUUAAAAAAAUAUGAGACUGACCUAAGAACUAACAUUACAGCAUGGCAGACACCCUGUGCACUGUCUUUAAUCCUCCCGAUAUCUGUGCAAACUCCAUCUGCUAGACUGUCUUUGUAGACGAUGGAAUAUCAGCUCAGAAAGGUUUCAGAGCCAGUUCAAGGUUACAGAAAACUUGGCAUGUCUGUAAUUUUGGAGCAAGGCCUGCUUGGCUCUAAAACCUCUUUUCACGACCACAUGUGAUCACUGGAAACCCAGAACAGCUUCAGAAACACCCCUAGAGAACUGUCUGAGGAAUCACAGAGCCAGUGAGUCUGCCAUGAGGAGCCAGGAAAAAGAUCCACAGCUUAGCAUUGCACUCCCGGCGGCCUAGUCGGGUUGACAUAAAAUCAACCAUCACAACGUGCUGUGCCCACAGCAUCCUCUCACAGGCUUCAGGGACCCAUUUCUCCAGGUGUGACAUCCCUUGCAGUUCUUACAGCUCCGAUUGACUGCAAAGCCAACCAAAUAAAAAGCCCAUUUCAUUUUAAGGUUCUCUGGAGGACCUGGGACAGAUGCAUUCUCUGGAAACAAUGGCAACACAAAGUAACUGGACUGUCACUAUUGGGAAUGGGACAUUCAUGCUAAGUUCCUGUAUAAGCUCUUUGAGAGUUUAAUAUCGGUCUUCCACCCUCCAUAUUCAAGAAGUGGCCCAUAAUGUCAGGGCGGGACUGUCACCAACGUGUAGCCCAAGAGCAGAGCUUCCCGGAUUCUGGGCAGACCAAACCAAGGAAGAGACUUCAAGAAAUUAAGCAAGGCAUCAAUCAUGAGGGGCCAGGGAAUGCUUGGACCUCUGUUCACAUCCUAACGUACCAUCUUCUCAAGCUCAGAGUGGAAGAAGGGAACUGUGCGCCCAGGAAGGACAUAGGUCCAGUGCUCCCCAAGUCUGAAAACUACACUACUUUCCCACUCAGCAAGGAUUCAGACCAGAUGAGAGGGCAUGGGAGCAGACGUGGAAGCGGCAAGCAGGGGACCCUUCUACCUGUCCCCAGAGAUCUGGCUCCAAGGACAGGGAGAGAGUUGGCUGUCCUUUUAUGUGGCCCUGUCUCAAAAGUGGUUCUUGAAUCCUUGUUCUUUGACCUAGUGGGCCUGGAU